rnacentral:rRNA from 1 species
AGCAGCCGCGGUAAUUCCAGCUCCAAUAGCGUAUAUUAAAGUUGUUGCAGUUAAAAAGCUCGUAGUUGAAUUUCGGGAUCAGUUGGUCGGUCGUGCCUCGGUACGUACUGGUCAAAUUGAUUCCUACCUUCUGACGAACCACGAUGUCAUUAAUUUGGUGUCGCGGGAAAUCAGGACUGUUACUUUGAAAAAAUUAGAGUGUUUAAAGCAGGCUCGCGCUUGAAUACAUUAGCAUGGAAUAAUGAAAUAGGACGUUUGAUUCUAUUUUGUUGGUUUCUAGGAUCGACGUAAUGAUUAAUAGGGAUAGUUGGGGGCAUUAGUAUUCAAUUGUCAGAGGUGAAAUUCUUGGAUUUAUUGAAGACUAACUACUGCGAAAGCAUUUGCCAAGGAUGUUUUCAUUAAUCAAGAACGAAAGUUAGGGGAUCGAAGACGAUCAGAUACCGUCGUAGUCUUAACCAUAAACUAUGCCGACUAGGGAUCGGGUGAUGUUAAUUUUUAAUGACUCAUUCGGCGCCUUACG